rnacentral:lncRNA from 1 species
UGUGGAAAUAGGCAGUGGAGCUGAAGAGAGAGAUGCAAACUGGCAUCUCUAAGUGAGUUAACUAGUUUAUUAGACACCUGAGAAUCCACAAGGGCUCACACACAGUAAAAGAUGCUCUGUUAAUUCUGCUCUUCAUGGUCUGUUUGGGUUUGUCACUCAUAGCAGUCCUCAUACUCUGUUUCCAACAGCAGGCAUGCACCAGAUAAAGAAUUUUCACUGCAUCAUGGACUUUGGCAACUGCUACUCUAUCAACAGAAUACCUCACAAACACUAAGUAAGCUUUACAACAGUAAAACGAGAGAUGAGUGUUGUUACCUGCAUUUUAUGGAAAAGGAUCUACAUGCACAGGGCCACCAAUUUUGGAUGCCUCAAUAGCUAUUUGUCUAAAAUGGGACACACCUAGAUUUUUCCAAUGUCUCAAGCGCUGGCAACUCUCAAACGGAGCUGAAACAACUGAGAAACACUGAGAGUACCAUCCGUCCUUGGACUCUGUGAAGCAUGUCUUGUAGUACUGCUUUGUGCUCCUCUGUGUCGUGUGAGUGUGUUUAUUAUAGAAGACAUGCUAUUUUGUGCGACUUACCUCACUCCUUGUAAACCUACUUGACUUAAGAUGAUGCAGUGGACCCAGGUGAAGCUGGAAACUGAAGAAAUGGGAAUAUAUUACUACAUUUUCAACAGAGAGUGGAAACUGUGGAAAGGUAACUGCUUUCUCUGACAAAAGCGUUUCCAGUUAUGAUGAGAAACAGAUGAUACUAGUUAUAUGUACAGCAAGCGUGCGGUUUUCUGUGGGCCAUUGAUCAGUGGUCAUCAACGAAGUCAAGAUCUUCUUACUUUUCCCUCUUCAGAUUAUUUGUCAUUUCACCUUGCAGUUUUGUUCAACCCUUUGAUUUGGAAGAUAGUAUAG